UACAGAGACUGCAAGCGUUAUUCGGAUUCACUGGGCGUAAAGGGUGCGCAGGCGGCCAAGUGUGUUAGGUGUGAAAGCCCGGGGCUUAACCCCGGAAUUGCACCUAAAACUACAUGGCUAGAGCAUUGGAGAGGGGAGCAGAAUUCACGGUGUAGCAGUGAAAUGCGUAGAUAUCGUGAGGAAUACCAGAGGCGAAGGCGGCUCCCUGGACAAUUGCUGACGCUCAGGGACGAAAGCGUGGGGAGCAAAAGGG
rnacentral:rRNA from 1 species